GAGUGAAGCGGCAACAGCUCAAAUUUGAAAUCUGGGUCCGAGUUGUAAUUUGUAGAGGAUGCUUUUGGUGAGGUCCGCCCGAGUUCCCUGGAACGGGACGCCACAGAGGGUGAGAGCCCCGUCUGGCUGGCCGCCGCCUCUGUAAAGCUCCUUCGACGAGUCGAGUAGUUUGGGAAUGCUGCUCAAAAUGGGAGGUAUAUGUCUUCUAAAGCUAAAUACUGGCCAGAGACCGAUAGCGCACAAGUAGAGUGAUCGAAAGAUGAAAAGCACCUUGAAAAGAGGGUUAAAUAGUACGUGAAAUUGUUGAAAGGGAAGCGCUUGUGACCAGACGUGGGCGCGGGAUCAUCCGGGGUUCUCUCCGGUGCACUUCCGCGCUAGGCCAGCAUCAGUUCGUCGCGGGGGAAAAGGCUUCGGGAACGUGGCUCCGGGAGUGUUAUAGCCCGUCGCAUACCCUGCGGUGGACUGAGGACCGCGCAUCUGCAAGGAUGCUGGCGUAAUGGUCACCAGCGACCCGUCUUGAAACACGGACCAAGGAGUCGUCCUCGUAUGCGAGUGUUCGGGUGUCAAACCCCUACGCGUAAUGAAAGUGAACGCAGGUGAGAGCGGCGCAUCAUCGACCGAUCCUGAUGUUCUCGGAUGGAUUUGAGUAAGAGCAUACGGGGCCGGACCCGAAAGAAGGUGAACUAUGCCUGUA
rnacentral:rRNA from 1 species